UACGUAGGGUGCGAGCGUUAAUCGGAAUUACUGGGCGUAAAGCGUGCGCAGGCGGUGGCUCAAGCCAGGCGUGAAAUCCCCGGGCUUAACCUGGGAAUGGCGUUUGGGACUGGGUCGCUAGAGUGUGGCAGAGGGAAGUGGAAUUCCACGUGUAGCAGUGAAAUGCGUAGAGAUGUGGAGGAACACCGAUGGCGAAGGCAGCCUCCUGGGCCAGCACUGACGCUCAUGCACGAAAGCGUGGGGAGCAAACAGG
rnacentral:rRNA from 1 species